rnacentral:rRNA from 1 species
GGCUGUCGUCAGCUCGUGUCGUGAGAUGUUGGGUUAAGUCCCGCAACGAGCGCAACCCUUAUCUUUAAUUGCCAGCAUUCAGUUGGGCACUUUAAAGAGACUGCCGGUGUUAAACCGGAGGAAGGUGGGAUGACGUCAAGUCCUCAUGGCCUUUAUGCUUAGGGCUACACACGUGCUACAAUGGGUGGUACAAAGAGAAGCCAACUCGCGAGAGCGCGCCAAUCUCAAAAAGCCAUCCUCAGUUCGGAUUGGAGUCUGCAACUCGACUCCAUGAAGUUGGAAUCGCUAGUAGUCGCGGAUCAGCAUGCCGCGGUGAAUACGUUCCCGGGCCUU